rnacentral:rRNA from 1 species
AAACUCGGGCUAAUACCGCAUACGUUCCCGGAGCUACGGUUCCGGGAGGAAAGGUGGCCUCUGCUUGCAAGCUACCGCUCCCAGAGGGGCCCGCGGCUGAUUAGCUAGUUGGUGGGGUAAUGGCCCACCAAGGCGACGAUCAGUAGCCGGCCUGAGAGGGUGAUCGGCCACACUGGAACUGAGACACGGUCCAGACUCCUACGGGAGGCAGCAGUGGGGAAUAUUGGACAAUGGGGGCAACCCUGAUCCAGCAACGCCGCGUGGGGGAUGAAGGUCUUCGGAUUGUAAACCCCUGUUAAGAGGGACGAAGGCUUUCGGGCGAACAGUCCGGAAGCUUGACGGUACCUCUAGAGGAAGCCCCGGCUAACUCUGUG